UUUCCGUAGGUGAACCAGCGGAGGGAUCAUUACCGAGUUUACAACUCCCAAACCCCUGUGAACAUACCAUUUGUUGCCUCGGCGGUGCCUGCUUCGGCAGCCCGCCAGAGGACCCAAACCCUUGAUUUUAUACAGUAUCUUCUGAGUAAAUGAUUAAAUAAAUCAAAACUUUCAACAACGGAUCUCUUGGUUCUGACAUCGAUGAAGAACGCAGC
rnacentral:misc_RNA from 1 species